AAGCUUUAUCCUCUUUACUAUCCCCUCCUCUCUGACAACCUUUCUCAUUUCCACUCUAACGGAUCCUCCAACGCCUCCGACAACCAGUCAUUGCCACGUCAUCCACCAACCCUCUCCCACUUCCCUUUCACCCCCUCUUCCCCAAAUCAAGCUUUCUCCUUACAAACAUGAGACCCCACUUCAAACUUGAGAUUUAGAAUCCAGAAGCCUCCACCAUGCAAUCGGAGCACCCAUCACAGACACAACUCACUGGCACACGCAUCCACUUCACAAACCGCAACUAUGCCAUUGAGGUGCUAUAAAAAUCCUAAAGAGAAUGACCGUUCUUCAUACCUACAAAGUCGUCGGCAUCGACAUCUCUUGAUUUUGCUAUCACAACAGACUCUCAUCGAUAGUUAUUGCAUGUGAUUUGUCGAGGUCAAGAAAUCGCCCAAACUCAUCGCUCGUCUGAUAUAUUGAUGUUGCUAGUUAGAGUUUAAUGUUGUUGGUGAUUAAUUUUGC
rnacentral:lncRNA from 1 species